AAUAAUUAAUCUUUCACAGACUAAUAAAAUCAUCUGGGGCCGGUAGUUCAAAGGCUUACACAGGCUUCGAACAACCGGGCCCAGAUGAUUUUAUUAGUAUGUGAAAGAGUAAUAGUA